rnacentral:rRNA from 1 species
GUCCACGCCUUAAACUAUGAACACUAGGUGUCGGGAGGUCUUACCCUUUCGGUGCCGCCGCUAACGCAUUGAGUGUUCCGCCUGGGGAGUACGGCCGCAAGGUUAAAACUCAAAGAAAUUGACGGGGGCCCGCACAAGCGGUGGAGUAUGUGGUUCAAUUCGAUGCAACGCGAAAAACCUUACCUAGGCUUGACAUCCAGAGAACCCUUUGGAAACAGAGGGGUGCUCGCAAGAGAAUUCUGAGACAGGUGCUGCAUGGCUGUCGU